AGCAGCGUGGCUCAGUGGAAAGAGCACGGGCUUUUGAGUCAGAGGUCAUGGGUUUGAAUCCCGGCUCUGCCA
rnacentral:tRNA from 1 species